rnacentral:rRNA from 1 species
AGUGAACGCUGGCGGUAGGCCUAACACAUGCAAGUCGAACGGCAGCAUAGUAAGAGCUUGCUCUUACGGGUGGCGAGUGACGGACGGGUGAGGAAUACAUCGGAAUCUACUUUUUCGUGGGGGAUAACGUAGGGAAACUUACGCUAAUACCGCAUACGACCUACGGGUGAAAGCAGGGGAUCUUCGGACCUUGCGCGAUUGAAUGAGCCGAUGUCGGAUUAGCUAGUUGGCGGGGUAAAGGCCCACCAAGGCGACGAUCCGUAGCUGGUCUGAGAGGAUGAUCAGCCACACUGGAACUGAGACACGGUCCAGACUCCUACGGGAGGCAGCAGUGGGGAAUAUUGGACAAUGGGCGCAAGCCUGAUCCAGCCAUACCGCGUGGGUGAAGAAGGCCUUCGGGUUGUAAAGCCCUUUUGUUGGGAAAGAAAAGCAGCAGGUUAAUACCCCGCUGUUCUGACGGUACCCAAAGAAUAAGCACCGGCUAACUUCGUG